GUCCACGCCGUAAACGAUGUGCACUAGAUCGCGGAGGUUUUGACACUAUUCGCGGUCGAAGUAAAACGUUGAGUGCACCGCCUGGGGAGUACGGUCGCAAGGCUAAAACUCAAAGGAAUUGACGGGGCUCACACAAGCGGUGGAGCAUGUGGCUCAAUUCGAAGCAACGCGAAGAACCUUAUCCUGGGUUUGACAUGCACGGAUUAGUUACCAGAAACGGUAAUGACACUCUCGUAGUGGAACGUGCACAGGUGCUGCAUGGCUGUCGU
rnacentral:rRNA from 1 species